GACGAACGCUGGCGGCGUGCUUAACACAUGCAAGUCGAACGAGGAAGCCUAGCUUGCUUGGUGGUUUAGUGGCGAACGGGUGGGUAAUACGUGAGUAACUCACCUUUAACUCUGGCAUAGGCCUGGAAAACUGGGUCUAUUACCGGAUACGACAAACCUCCGCAUGGGGUGUUGGUGGAAAGCUUUAUGUAGUGGUUAUAGAUGGGCCCACGGCCUAUCUGCUUGUUGGGGAGGUAACGGCCCACCAAGGCGACGACGGGUAGCCGGCAUGAGAGGGUGACCAGCCACACUGGGACUGAGAGACGGACCAGAGUCCUACGGGAGGCAGCAGUGGGGAAUAUUGCACAAUGGGCGCAAGCCUGAUGCAGCGACGCCGCGUGAGGGAUGACGGCCUUCGGGUUGUAAACCUCUGUUAGCAGGGAAGAAGAGAAAUUGACGGUACCUGCAGAGAAAGCGCCGGCUAACUACGUG
rnacentral:rRNA from 1 species